AAAAAAUUAGUUUUAACUUCAUGAUUUAAUAUUAAUGACAUUAUACAUUAUUAUAAGAUGUUUUUCUUAAUGCUGCGUGCGUGCCUUUGAUGCGCGUGCGCGUGAACAUUCAAAUCACAGGAGCGCGCGAGCAGUUUGAAUUGAAACAGGAAGCGUCGUGCCGUCGUCAACUGACAAACACCAACUAGCGUCUCUCGCUGUUGUCACUGCGUUCAGAAAUGAUUUUGGGUCUUCGAAAAAGUCCGUUAGCAUCUCAAUCGUUUUCAGAAGAGGCUAGCAGCUAAGUUAGCUAAGAUCAUGUUGAUGUCCUAAGUUACUGCACCCCCUGUCCAAGACAAUCUCCACGGCUAUGAACUCGACUAGUGUGUUUUGAAAUAAGUUGUCCAAUGAGACGUCGUACUGUCCAACUCAAAGGAGGGAUCAUGAAAUUUGAUUCUGCAGCCACAGAGAAGUAAAUCAAGAUGCAUGUUUCUGAGCACCUCAAGCACGCGCCGCAAAGAUUGGAGGUAGAGGAUUCACAACUCCCUGAUGAGCCAAGACGAGAGGACUUGAAUUAUAAAUUAAAUUACAAUCUAGUUAUUUGUUCAUAAUUGUGCUUUACUGUGGCCCUUCAAUGACAAUCUAAUUAUUUGUUCAUAAUUAAAUUAAAUUACAAUUUUACACUACAGUGUUUAACACCUGUUAUAGAUG